AGCGAACGCUGGCGGCAGGCCUAACACAUGCAAGUCGAACGAAGUCUUCGGACUUAGUGGCGGACGGGUGAGUAACACGUGGGAAAGUACCUUUUGGUUCGGAACAACUCAGGGAAACUUGAGCUAAUACCGGAUGAGCUCUUAGGGGGAAAGAUUUAUCGCCGAAAGAGCGGCCCGCGUUAGAUUAGCUAGUUGGUGAGGUAAAGGCUCACCAAGGCUACGAUCUAUAGCUGGUCUGAGAGGAUGAUCAGCCACACUGGGACUGAGACACGGCCCAGACUCCUACGGGAGGCAGCAGUGGGGAAUCUUGCGCAAUGGGCGAAAGCCUGACGCAGCCAUGCCGCGUGAAUGAUGAAGGUCUUAGGAUUGUAAAAUUCUUUUACCAGGGACGAUAAUGACGGUACCUGGAGAAAAAGCCCCGGCUAACUUCGUGCCAGCAGCCGCCGUAACAC
rnacentral:rRNA from 1 species